GCCCAUGGCAGGGAGAUGAACUUUAAGAUCCCUUCCAAACCAGACAUUCUGUGAUUCUGUGAUCCUCCCCCACCCUCAAACAAACAACCAGAAGUCCCCUAGGAUGUUUUUAUUAACUCUCAGUGUGAUGUAGAGGAGUCAGUCACAUCCUAUCAGCCACGAUGCUCUCAAAAGAUACAGCUGUUUUAAUUGCUUUGUCAUCAUCACUGCUUAUCAGUGUUUCACCAUGGAGAAUAAGAAGUCCUGGGGCUGGCUGUAAGUUUUGGUGCAAUUCACACUUAAAUGGAGGAAACUCACCUCCAAAGUGUACAUGGAUUGUAUUAGUAGAAAAAAAAUUCUGUUGUGUGGUUUUAACCAUGUUCUGCACAAAGUAAGAUACACAAGAAGACUUAAAGUAUCACAGCAGAGAUUUACUGUAAGAGAAAUAAAGACUUCAUUCCCCUACACUUCCAGAUAAUAUUUAUCUGCAGGAGGUUUUAGGUUCUCUUGUAAAAGCAAAUAAAGCCUGGCACAUAUUUAACUUUCACUACAGUAAAUCAUAUUUUCUGAUGUUUUCUAAAUAGCUUUAUCACAGAAGUGUUAAAAAACUCUGGAGAAGAGUAGGAAUUAAAAAGUUUGCUUGGUCUAUAGAUGUCUCCAUGAAAAUGGACCUUUUCCAUGUAUCUUAAAUAGUAUAAAAUUAAUUCUCCAUCUUUCAUUCAUGUUUUUCAUAAACUGUUCCAUAUUAAGUUCAAAUCUAUGCACAGGAAAAGAGAACCAUUUAAGUCUUCACUAAAACAGCAAAAUGAACAAAAUAAAGGAUGGUCUUGUCUUUAUUUGUCUCAUUUUUUUAAUUAUCUUAAAGCAAUAUACUCUGUGUGAUCACAGAACACUGUUCAGAGCCAUUCUCCAGAGCCAACAGAUGAAAAUAUAUGUGGCAUCACUUCAACGCAUCUCUCCUUUAAAAGAGACUGAGAAAGAGCACGAAAUUGUGGUGCUUCUGCAGCCUUCUAAGGGGAAAAGACACAACCCUGUUUACUCCUGUGGACUCUGGAUUAUUUCAAGAGCCUGUAUCUGGCUGUUGCAGGCCAGAGCAGCUGGUCUUGGGAACAGCCCUGAAUUAGAUGUCUGACCUGUUCUGGCAGUCUGACUUAAACUGCCAGUCCUGAAGGCACAUGCUCCAGAUGCUGCAUGGAAUGGGAUGGGCAACACCCUAAGACUAGGGAAGGGUGCACCCAUUAGAAAAGUUUGGUUUUGCUUUCAGAGCUAAAAGUUAUUUUAUGGCUUGGAGGAGUUUUAGGAUUCUUAUUCACUGGAGAGUAAAGACCUGGUUUCUGCAUGGCAAGAGAGUGCAUAUUCACACCUGAGAUCCACACGAUUCCAUAAAGCAAUUGUUUUGUAGCCAUUAAUCAAAGCAGUACACAAAACCUGACCAACUUCCAAGAUUAACUGCCAGAUAAAUCAAAUUUAUGUUGAAAUCAACAAUAUUAUACAAAGAAGGUAACAGGAAAAUAGCACCUUGUUACUGAAUGGACUCAGUUCCUCUCUGUAUUGAAAGUCUUCUGAAUUUUUGCUCCUCUUAGAACACACUUGCCAGAGCAGCUGAAGAAAAAAGAAGCUUAUUCCAUGGAUCCUCAUUUCUGUUACCUAAGCUAUACCUACAGAGACACAUUUUUUCCCCUCAGUGUAGGAUGCUUUAGAGAGAACCUAUAUAGGAGGUGGCUUGGUGUAACCAAAGGAAGGACUCAACAUCCAACUUUCUUGUAAAUUAUGAAGUAUAAAAUACAACAUAGGAGGAUUUGCAUUUUGAGUAAAAAAUCCCACAUAUUUACUUUUGAGAUCAAGUAAGGAAUCAACACAGAGAUUCAACUAACCCAGUACACAGUGUUGGUUGGUUGGAUUUUUUUUUGUUGUUGUUGUGGUGUGGUGUGUUUUUUUCUGGUUUUUGUUGUUGUUGUUUCAUGGAGUGAUUUUAGAGGGCAAAAUCAUGUCCUAGGACCUGGUCCUGAAUGCACAAAGUUUCAACAGGAUAUAAUACAAGCUUUGCUAAGAGCAAAUGGGAGAAGAUCGCUGCUGCAGAGAAGAUGAACAAGCUUUUUUUUUGUUUGGGUUGGGUUUUUCUAAACACAAAAAAGAGAAAGAAAGAAGCAAUGAGACUUCAGACACCUAGAGCCAGCAAAACUCAAUGACAGUGAUCACCUCCUUGACCACCACAAAGCAGCCAACAACAGACAAACAGCUUAGACCAGACCCAUUUAAGAUCACUGCAAAUCCUUAGUGACAACUCAACAAAACAAUUUCAGACAGUUUGUAAAUGAUAUUCAAUCAACUCACUAAACACUCGAAGAUAUCAAUGAACAAGAGUUUCAUUGACAAAAGCUUUUCUUGACCAAGAAGUCAAAACAAGUCAGGCAAUAAAAUCACAGGAUGGGCCACACAAAAUGUUCUGCCUUGUAUAAGGUCAGGAUAUUUUCAUUUCAUUUCACCAAUGUGUGAUCAGUGCUCUGUGUGCAUCCCACUGUUGGAAACUGCCCCUGUCUGCUGCAAAACCCAUCUCUAGGUGGACUUCCAACACACAACAGCUUUGGCACAAAAUAACAAGCACUUAUAUCAUUGCCUCCUUUGUGAAUAACACAACACUGGGACAUGGCAUGCUUGGCUCUCCCGGCGCACUCUGCAUGAAACACACCUUGAUAAAGCAAUUUUCCACGGAAAACAACAUCAACUCACUUGGAUUUGCUGACAUCCAACCCAAAGUCCAUGGUCAGUCACACAGUGGUUUGAAACCUGGUUACAAGUCUGCACUUAGAUGAUAAUGUUAAUACCCACAAACCUUUGGAGGGUGCAGUCAGUAUUCAUGGCCAGUAGGUUUAACCUGAUUUUGGUGUUAACCUGUUUUGGUGUUUAACUCAGAUUUGGUGGGACUGAGUGAUAUCUCAGUAGGGAGUGCAGCACAGUUUGGCCCCAGAACACCAUGCAGGGCUAGGUCCAAAGCCUGCACAAGCCAAACCUUUGGAUUAAUUGCACUGUAAAGCUUGAGUUAUCAUUUACAAGCCUUUCAAAGCCCACAGCCACAUUUCCCACUCACUGCAUUACCAUUUCUUAUACCACUCAGUAGGAAAACCGUCAAUAAAGCAACCAUUCAUUUCAGACAGAACUGGCCAAUAGUGACAACAGAGAAACCAGACUCCAGAAAAUAACCAGACAGAAUAAACCUGGGUAAGAUCCUUAAAAAUUAUCUUUAAUUGAUGCCAAAUAUGAACAGAUGAACGAGUACAGAAGCAGGUAAAACUGCAUAGAUGAAAACUAUGCAUUUCAAAUAGUUCAAGAACUCAUAACAUCAGAUGUUCUAAAAAUGGUAAGUCAAACAAUUUCAUUAUUUGGAAGUAAAAUGAGCUGUAAUGUGACAAUGAAGUACAUACUUGACCCAAAGUAUAAGCGAUUGGUAAAUGGUAGAAAUAGGUACAGCUGUGUCAGCUUAAAUGGUUUGUUGCCCUGAUGGUGCACUUUCAUAUGGAGACUAUUCGGUUUAUAUCUUUCACAUUGGCAAUAUUUGAUCUUUAAAGUCAGAGGUAUGUCUGAGAGGCCAUUUACAGUUCUAUUGACUGUUAUUAAUUUCAAACCGACAUACUGCAAAAACCACAAUGUUUUACAUGUAAAGGAAAGGAAAAAAAUAUUUCAUCAUAGCAGGUUAUAAGUAAGGGUUUGCUGAAUUUAAUAAUAAAAAUAUCAUUUUUACUUUUGUACAAAAGUAAAAUAUAUAUUUGAUCCCAAUUACAUUCUAGAAAUGUCACUGAAACAAUAACAUGGAUCAAAGACUGAUGCACCUAAAGGAACUGAAUGCAGCGUCUUCAUUUUAUUAUAGAAACUAGAAAUGGAAGAUGAUUUUUUUAAUAUAUAGCUUGUAGUGAUAUUUGUAGAGCCUGUGAACAGGUGAAAUAUACAGAAUUACACAGAUAUUAACAGAAACCUUGAGACAAAUUUCAGUUAAGACCUCAGUUUCAUUUUAUUUCCUUUGAAGAUAUCAAAGCAUGCUAUGCCUUGACAGCAUAAAUUGUUGACCUCACCGAUGGCAAGUUCACCUGCACCGCUGCACUGAGUGAAACUGUAGAACACCCUGAAGUUUCUUGAAGUUUCUUUUCUUUUUUUUUUUUUUCAGAUACAAAUACUGAUACCUUUAAGAAUACUUGAUAAGCAUUUCAGGAAAAAGAAAUUCCCUACACCUGAUUAACUAAAGCCAGAACAGAAAACAGAAAAAGAAACUCAGCCUGAAUUCAGUCCAACCAAAACUGAAGUGUAGGUCCCUGGUUAAAGCAUCUCAGAAAAGAAGCCUGUUCCAGACUUGCAGGAGGCUGGUCUGGGACAAACUUGCCCUGCUGUGCAAUUGCAAGGACAGCUUUCCAGUUCCAUCCAGCUCUGCAGCUGCCGAGGCUAAAUCACACCUUGGAGCUGACUCUGCAUCCCUGUGAGUCUGAAAUUACUCUGAGAAUCACUGUCAUCAGGCUGGUGGAAGCCUACAGGAUCAGACCAUUCCUGGAAAAGCUGCAGUACCUCCCUCUUCUUCAGGUUAGGGGAAAAGAUUAAUCCAGAAUGGCACCCCUCAAGCAAUAGUUAUCAAGGUAGUAUUUGGAAAAGAAUACAUUCUUUCCAUGUAUUGCACAUGUAUGCAGAAGAUUUUGUUCUAAAAUACAACUUUCCACCUUUUUCUAAUAAAUUUCUGGUGUUCCUGACCUAGUGUUGGUUGUGUUUUGUUUAGUAAAUGCACAUAUAAGAAACUGCACUGUUCAAGUGUGGACUGUGGAAAAGUGAAACUUGCCCUCAGCUCCUUAAAAUCAGGUGGUUUUGAGGUUACACUUGGGCUGCAGCUCUCUCACAGUAGAAACUAACUUCUGUACUUCUGCCUAAUGAAAACAAUUGUCCCUUGGUGUAGAAAAAACCCUGUCAAUACAAGCUGCCACUGCUCCUGUUGCCAGUUUGGGCAGCUUCAGCCUACCAAUGAAUGACACACAGCUGGUUUGCUAAGAAGAGUCUGAUCUCUGAAAUCUCCACGUGGGCAAAAACCACUGCUGCAAACAAGAGGACUUUGGCUGAAUUUUAUCCUGUCUCCAGUGCUUCGUUCUGUCUCAUAAGUGCUUGUCCAUGUGACUAACAGUACAUCAGGCUAAUGCCUGUGCAGUUCUGUAAAGUGGAAAUGAAUUUCCUUAGGCCGCAAUUGUUUUCGGCUUCCCCGAAGGCAGCACUGGUGUAAACCAGGAACAAAGGGAGGGACUCACCAGAACUGGCACCAGGAUCAAGUGUUAGUUUUCCCCUCAGUAAGCCAGGCUGUGAAUCUGCAGCAGUCAUGUACUAAGAGUUUCGGCGCAGGUGGGACCCCCUGCACAAUGGGGUCACUUCCAGUACAUCGAAAGAUUACUACAGGCUUAUCUGUCUGAAUGGGCUUGUGAGGCAGAUGAGGUAAACUGCAUUAAGCCCCAUUGUGUUCAGAAUUAAAGCAGCCUUAAUUGAAUUCAGGUUACUUCCCUUUCAAAAAGAAUGACUCCAAAUCAGAUUAAGGUUGCUUUAAUACUGCAACAGAAUGUCCAUGCUGGGCUUUAAAGCAGUUUAACAAAUCUACUUUAAAUGCACACCUUUCAUUAAUUCGGAUUAGCUCUCCUGAAGUCCUCAGUGGAGAUAAGGCUUAGGACACCCAAUGCAGGGAAUCUGCAUGGGUUUGCUAGGAUGCAGUGAACUCACAGCCUGGCUAACUGCACUCCAACUUCCUCAUGAAAGUGACUAAAUCCAGUUCAUGGCCUGUGCUGGAGCUGCCACACAGAGGGUUUAAGCUCUCGGCAGUCUUGCAGCAAGCCCUGAGUUCUGUGAAGGAACAGGGUACAGAGUCCUUCAUUUUCACUCUCACACUUGCUCUUCUGCCUCUCCCUAGUGCUCUAGAGCUAAGUAUGGUAGAACCAGAUGAGGAAUUCUGGGACAGAUACCAGUCUAUGGGAUUCCUGCCCAAUGACUCUCUGCUCCAUUCCUGCCUCUGCACUGCAGUCCACUGCUGCCUUGCCCUUGCCAGGUAAAUUCCCUCACCCCUUUCCCUGAGUGGAUGAAGGAAAAGCUGCACAAGACCAGCUAAGAAGCACAGAGAGGCACAGAGCAGUGGAUGAUGGUGGGGGUGUGGGGAAUGACUCCUUCUGCUGGAAAAGCUUUCUUCCCCUCACCAAACUAAGACUGCCAUAUCCACUGGAUUCCCUGUCCAGCAUAACAUGGGCAUCACUUCCAGGAGGUCCCUACCAGAGGAAUUCUCUUGAGUCUUUCAGAGAAGCACUACACUGGCCAUCAGCUCAUUUCCAGUCCUCUUCCAGUUACAUAGAAAACCCCUUAGAGUCCACGUGUGGCUAAAAGAAAUAUAACGGCCAAAAGGAAAAAAAAAAGAUAUAUAAAAAGAACAAAAAGAAACAAAGAAAUAAAAAAAGGGAUGCUUGCUGAUAAGAACAGGCAGUUUGUUAAGUGCACCUUCAGGCCCACAAAGACAUUUCAGCACUCCUGUGUAAAGGGAGUAAGAACCUUGUUUUCGGUGUUUAUUUUUUUUCUGUCAAACUUGUCGAAAAGGCAUGCCUAUGCUACAUGAGGUCAAUUCCUGUUUUCCAUAUGGGUUGAGAUCCUUUGCAGUGAGCUAUAAAUGGACAAAGCAACAUUCAGGCUCCCCAAACCAUGAGUUCUUAUGAUCUGUCCCAGUCUCUUGACAAAGAAUCACUGCAUGCAGCACUUUUCUCUGUGCAUAAGCAGAAUGAUCAUCACUCUGCGCAUUAAAUUAAGGUGUGCACACCCAGCUGGGGCAGAAGGUACCCAAGUGAGGCCUCAUCUCUCAAAUGCAUCCUUCUGAUCAUCGGUCCCAUAGCACUGAAUUGAUUAUUGCUGUUUAAUUUAGUCAGAUGGUGGUUUUAUAAGCAGAGUGCAGCAUUCAAGUCCAUUUUGAUAUCAGAAGUCAUAUCCUCUGAUUCAAGAGUUUGGGAAGAUCAGGACCACUGGAAUUUAACAGGGAGAGAGGUGUACAAAGGGCAAGGGGUUGAGCAAGGGACAGGAAAAAAGCUUUACAACAUCUACCUAGAGGAUGUAAAGCCCUGUUUUAUCUGAUGCUUUGCACUUUUUGCAAGAAUUGGAGCUCCUUCAGUUCUUGAUCUUUCUCAUCACUAAGAUUCACAGAAGUCACACAGUGAGAAAUAAAGUCAAGUCUUUCUGGAAACCUAGCAGGUCAAGCUUGUGCGUAACUGCAGAGUUAGGGUUGGUUUUUAACUCUAAGUCUUUGAUUCUAUUUUAUAUAUACCUGUGCCUGCAUACGUAUGUGACACACACAGGAGCAGACAUAUCUGUACACCAUGGAAGGAGAUGUGUUCAAUAGCAGUUGGCCACAUGCUAAGUGCAGAAUGAAGAUCCUCAACUUUGUCCAUUUGAAAAAUUGAAAUUAGUGCCUAUAUGUUCAUUCAGAUCUUCCAGGGCCUAGCAGUCAAGGCUGGCAUGUUGCAGAAGAUAUCUUCUCCUAGCAUUGCUUCCCUCACCAGGAAAUGAUGGAAGUACAGUAAGAUCAGAGACCAGGAAGAAGAACAUGGCUCAAAGGCUGUGAUGUGAUCUAAGAUCUGGAAGAGGAUGGAGCAGACAUGGAUGGGAGGGCCCAGCAAAGACUUUCCCAUCUACCUGCUGGGGAACCUAAGGGAAAGAAGAGCACAGUCCUCCAGUCUGGUUGCCUGACUGGGCGAUGCCCAGGCUCCUGUUUCUCCUGCGCCCUGCCCUGCAGGAACAAGCUGCCAAAGAGCCACCUCAGGGAAAGGAAGGGCAGAUACAGUGAUGGCAGUGAUGUCUCUAUGAACAAACCGGGGAGACCUGAAGCCUCGCAUGUACACAACUAGGAGUUAUUUGGCAGAAGCCAAUGUAGAGCCCUGCAGCAUCAGACUGGCUGGGGGAAGGAAAGUAUUCUGUGGGCACUGGUGAUCUCUGCCUGCCUCUUCUGCAUCCCUCUCACUCAUGCUUGAUCUUUCUAUCCCUAAACCAUGAUGUGCCAGUAGACAGCACAGGACACUCCUGACACACAGGACUGACUCCUUGUCCUUUCCCUCUGUGUUUCUGAGCCACUCAGUUCCUGGAGGCACUUUCAGCAGUUUUGGGGGGUGUAAGAUAAAGGCACUGCGCAACUCUCUCAAUCAAUCUGCUGAGUCUCUUCAGUGAGUUUUGGAGGGGAUACAAAAAAUCUCAACUGAUGACAGCAAAAGAAACCAGCUGCUGCAAUUCGGAUGUAUAUAAUAGAUAAGUUUCAUUUACAUUCUGAGAAUGCACCAAAAAGCAUGCAUCUGCACCUUUCAUCUAUAGAGGAUACUAGGUUUUUAGCUGUUGCUAUAUAUAACAUGACUUGUUAGUUUUCCAUAUAGCUUUCCCUUUGAGGGAUAGGAUAUGUUCCUUUCCAACAAAGCCUGAGCAAAAGCCAACACAUUUCCCUGAGCAAUGCAGGAAAAUAAUCAGGUUUCUCUAAUCAGUUCAUUCAGGCCCUCAGUCUAUCAAAUAAUUUUUUUUUUGUUUUUAUUGUUAUCAUUAUUGUUGUUAUUAUCAUCAUCAUUACUAUUAUUAUCAUUGAAUUCAUGCACUAAUUAAUUCAAGUUACACUUUAAUCAAAUAGGCCAUAAUGCUGAAUAUUUGAACAUGCUUUGAUCUCCAAAAGUUAUUGUUCCCAUUUGAUUAACAUAUGCACUUAAAUACAGUACUUUAAAUUACUAGUCAACGAUUUAAUAAAUUAAGGAGUGCACUUCUGGUGAAUGCAAAUCAGAAAGAAAAAUAAAAGAAAUGAAAAAAGAGAGGAGAAAGGACCUAUUUUUAGAAGAUUCAGUUCAAACGAAAGCUUAUCUGCUAUUGACUGAGGUAACGUUUCAAGCAUGCGAUCGUAAAAUAAAUAGUAUCAAAUUCAAACAUGCUUAUAUUAAACUCCAUUGUGCUAUCUUGCAACAGAGGGGCUUAAAGUUUUGUAUCCAGUUCCAAACGGGGAGGGGGGGAAAAGUGUGUUUCUAUCAUCUGCAUGUGAGAGGACUUAGCAGCAUUGCAGAUGUUUUGUCUUCAGUUUUGUUUGUUAUUCUCCUUUUAGGAUAUUUCUUCUAUGGACAGCAAAAGACAUCAGGCUUAAGUAGGUUUUUUAAUAAGGUGCUGUGUGGAUCUAUAGGUUGGAGGGAUGGAAUCUUUCACAGAGGGAGUGGAAGGAAAAUUUGCACUCCUUCAUAAACACCACGGCAAAUGCUUGACGCAGGUUUUGGCUGAUUUUUUUUUUACUAUUAUUAUCUGAUGCACUUUCUUGCAACUGUGUAGUUUUGCAAAUUAUUUUUACUGGAAUCCAUGCAUAUGCUUAAUAGCUCUAAAAACUGUCUUGCUUAGUUGAAGAUAACUUUAUCCAAAAAAAAAAA